CCAUAGUCAAGUCGGACUCAUACAAAUGCACUUGGAGACGAUAUGAGACGUACAUCUUCAACCCGAAGCCAACCCGAAGGUACAGGUAUGGCCGGGAAGGAAAGACGCGAGGCGGCGGCGGCGGCGGCGGCAGCGGCUGAGUCCGAGGUGGUGGCCAUAGGGAGAUAACGACUGAGGUAGUGCGAGAGGAGAACUCAUGUCGAAAGGAAGCGCCGUGGUCAUCGACAAUGGGGCUGGGCUGUGCAAGGCCGGUUUCGGCGGAGAUAUGGAUCCUAUCGCCGUCGUCCCCAAUAGCCUCGGCCGUUCCGCCAAUUCGAAAAGGUGGCUGGUGGCGGACGAGCUCCGUGCUGCCGAUGCUGACGUGACUUCCGUGUCCCUCCGACGGCCCUUUGACCGCGGCUACCUCGUCAAUCCGGAUCUCCAGAGGGAGGUGUGGGAAAGGGUCCUUCGGACCCUGCUCCGUGUGGACCCUGCCCGCUCCUCGCUCCUCUUGGUGGAGCCUCUUUUCAACCCGCUGGCCGCCCAGCGCACCACCGACGAGAUCGUCUUUGAGGACCUCGGCUUCCGCUCCCUCUGCGUGGCCGACUCACCCUCCCUCGUCCAUCUCUAUGAGGCCAGUCGCCGCACGGACUGUCAGUCCCACUCCCAGUGCAGCCUCGUGGUGGACUGCGGUUUCUCCUUCACCCACGCCGCCCCCGUGGUCCACAACUUCACCCUCAACUACGGGGUCAGGCGCCUUGACCUCGGCGGCAAGGCUCUCACCAACUACCUCAAGGAGCUCGUCUCCUACCGCUCCGUCAACCUCAUGGAAGAGACCCUCAUCAUUGACCACGCCAAGGAGAAGCUCUGCUUCGUUUCCCUCGAUGUACCCCGCGAUCUCCGCGUCGCCAGAAGAUCUGGAAAAGACAAUCCUUUCAAGUGCACAUAUGUUCUCCCUGAUGGUAUUGAACAUACUAAAGGCUAUGUCAAGGACUUUGAUGAAGCAAGAAGGUACCUUUCUCUGCCAUAUGAGAGCUCAUCCACAGAUUCGGGGCUGAAGGAAGAAAUGUCACCCUCUCAACACAAUGCAGAGAAAUCUGUGGAGCAGAGGAGAAUUGACUUGACACAAAAUGAGUUUACCCUGACAAAUGAACGUUUCCUUGUUCCUGAAAUGCUUUUCCGUCCUUCUGAUUUGGGUAUGAACCAAGCUGGACUAGCUGAAUGCAUAGUCCGUGCUGUAAAUGCUUGUCAUCCUCUUCUUCACCCUGUGCUCUUUGAGAGCAUCAUAUUGACUGGUGGAAGCUCAUUAUUUCCUCGCUUUGCUGAAAGACUAGAAAGGGAUCUUCGACCUCUUGUGCCUGAUGAUUAUCAAGUGAAGAUUACUUCACAAGAAGAUCCUAUUCUAGGUGUAUGGCGAGGUGGUUCGCUGUUGGCAUCCAGUCCUGAAUUUGAAUCAAUGUGCAUCACGAAGUCCGAAUAUGAAGAGAUUGGAUCACCCCGCUGUCGACGUCGCUUUUUUCACUGAAUAUUCGAUUAUGUCUAGGCUUUAGGAUAUCAGUCAAUAUGGUUUUAGUGCCAAAUUGUAUAAAACAAGGCUUCGGCUAGAAUUCAUGCAUUAGCUGUGGUGAAAAAAUAUUUAGUGACACUUUCAGAGCUUGGGAUAGGCAGCAGAGGGUCAUCAAACAAGGAUGCAGGCAACCUUGGAUCAUCUGACGAUCCUGUGUAUCCACAAUGUUCAAUUUCA